rnacentral:rRNA from 1 species
UACGUAGGGUGCGAGCGUUGUCCGGAAUUAUUGGGCGUAAAGAGCUUGUAGGCGGUUUGUCGCGUCUGCUGUGAAAAUCCGGGACUCAACCCCGGACCUGCAGUGGGUACGGGCAGACUAGAGUGUGGUAGGGGAGACUGGAAUUCCUGGUGUAGCGGUGAAAUGCGCAGAUAUCAGGAGGAACACCGAUGGCGAAGGCAGGUCUCUGGGCCACUACUGACGCUGAGAAGCGAAAGCCAGGGGAGCAAACGGG